GGGGCCCUGGGCUGGGACGCCGCGGCCUGGGACGCCGCUGGCUUGGCCUUCGCGGGCUCCGCCCGGGGCUCCGCCUUCGGCGCCGCUCC
rnacentral:tRNA from 1 species